rnacentral:pre_miRNA from 2 species
CCAUGCUUCUCUAACGUUGCAUGGAGUCUAUGUCUGGACCUCCUCCAUUUGCUCUUUCAAGAGAAUGUGAGAAUUUCGAGAUUCGGACAUAGCCUUCAUGCAUGCUAGAGUAGAAUGG